CCUACGGGCGGCAGCAGUCGAGAAUCAUUCACAAUGGGGGAAACCCUGAUGGUGCGACGCCGCGUGGGGGAAUGAAGGUCUUCGGAUUGUAAACCCCUGUCAUGUGGGAGCAAAUUAAAAAGAUAGUACCACAAGAGGAAGAGACGGCUAACUCUGUGCCAGCAGCCGCGGGAAUACAGAGGUCUCAAGCGUUGUUCGGAAUCACUGGGCGUAAAGCGUGCGUAGGCUGUUUCGUAAGUCGUGUGUGAAAGGCGCGGGCUCAACCCGCGGACGGCACAUGAUACUGGGAGACUAGAGUAAUGGAGGGGGAACCGGAAUUCUCGGUGUAGCAGUGAAAUGCGUAGAUAUCGAGAGGAACACUCGUGGCGAAGGCGGGUUCCUGGACAUUAACUGACGCUGAGGCACGAAGGCCAGGGGAGCGAAAGGGAUUAGAUACCCGGGUAGUC
rnacentral:rRNA from 1 species